UACAGAGGUCCCAAGCGUUGUUCGGAUUCACUGGGCGUAAAGGGUGCGUAGGUGGUGAGGUAAGUCGGAUGUGAAAGCUCGGAGCUCAACUCCGAAAUGGCAUUGGAAACUACCUUGCUCGAGGGUUGGAGGGGGGACUGGAAUACUUGGUGUAGCAGUGAAAUGCGUAGAUAUCAAGUGGAACACCAGUGGCGAAGGCGAGUGCCCUGGACAACUCCUGACACUGAGGCACGAAAGCGUGGGGGAGCAAACAGG
rnacentral:rRNA from 1 species